UACGUAGGUGGCAAGCGUUGUCCGGAUUUACUGGGCGUAAAGAGCGCGCAGGCGGUCGUUUAAGUCGAAUGUGAAAGCCCCCGGCUCAACUGGGGAGGGUCAUUCGAUACUGAUCGACUUGAAGGCAGGAGAGGGAAGUGGAAUUCCGGGUGUAGUGGUGAAAUGCGUAGAUAUCCGGAGGAACACCAGUGGCGAAGGCGACACGCUGGGCCGUACCUGACACUGAUGCGCGACAGCAUGGGGAGCAAACAGG
rnacentral:rRNA from 1 species